GCCAGGUGUGGUGGCACACGCCUGUAAUCCCAGAGGCAUGGGAGGCUGAGACAGGAGGAUCAUGAAUUUAAAGCCAGCUUCAGCAAAAGCGAGGCACUGUCUCUAAAGUGAAACCCUAUCUCUA
rnacentral:sRNA from 1 species